CAGUCGCCGCGGGAAUACGAAGGGGGCUAGCGUUGUUCGGAUUUACUGGGCGUAAAGCGCACGUAGGCGGACUUUUAAGUCAGGGGUGAAAUCCCGGGGCUCAACCCCGGAACUGCCUUUGAUACUGGAAGUCUUGAGUAUGGUAGAGGUGAGUGGAAUUCCGAGUGUAGAGGUGAAAUUCGUAGAUAUUCGGAGGAACACCAGUGACGAAGGCGGCUCACUGGACCAUUACUGACGCUGAGGUGCGAAAGCGUGGGGAGCAAACAGGAUUAGAUACCCGAGUAGUCCCUGUCUCUUAUAC
rnacentral:rRNA from 1 species